AUUGAACGCUGGCGGCAUGCCUUACACAUGCAAGUCGAACGGCAGCGCGGGAGCAAUCCUGGCGGCGAGUGGCGAACGGGUGAGUAAUACAUCGGAACGUGCCCAAUCGUGGGGGAUAACGCAGCGAAAGCUGUGCUAAUACCGCAUACGAUCUACGGAUGAAAGCAGGGGAUCGCAAGACCUUGCGCGAAUGGAGCGGCCGAUGGCAGAUUAGGUAGUUGGUGAGGUAAAGGCUCACCAAGCCUACGAUCUGUAGCUGGUCUGAGAGGACGACCAGCCACCGUGGAACGCAGACACGGUCCAGAAGCCGACGGGAGGCAGCAGUGGGGAAGAUUAGGGAAUGGGCGAAAGCCUGAUGCAGCAAGACCGCGUGAGUGAAGAAGGUCUUCGGAUCGUAAAACUCUUUUAUGAGGAAAGAACAAAUGCAGAAUAAACGAUGCACGUCGUGACGGUACCGAAACAGAAAGCCACGGCUAACUACGUG
rnacentral:rRNA from 1 species